GUGGGGAAUUUUGGACAAUGGGCGCAAGCCUGAUCCAGCAAUGCCGCGUGUGUGAAGAAGGCCUUCGGGUUGUAAAGCACUUUUGGCAGGAAAGAAAUAGUGCGUGCUAAUACCAUGCGCGAAUGACGGUACCUGCAGAAUAAGCACCGGCUAACUACGUGCCAGCAGCCGCGGUAAGACGUAGGGUGCAAGCGUUAAUCGGAAUUACUGGGCGUAAAGCGUGCGCAGGCGGUUUUGUAAGACAGGUGUGAAAUCCCCGGGCUCAACCUGGGAACUGCACUUGUGACUGCAAGGCUAGAGUGUGUCAGAGGGAGGUGGAAUUCCGCGUGUAGCAGUGAAAUGCGUAGAGAUGCGGAGGAACACCGAUGGCGAAGGCAGCCUCCUGGGAUAACACUGACGCUCAGGCACGAAAGCGUGGGGAGCAAACAGGAUUAGAAACCCUGGUAGUCC
rnacentral:rRNA from 1 species